UGAGGAAUUUUGCGCAAUGGGAGCAAUCCUGACGCAGCAACGCCGCGUGGGUGAUGAAGGCCUUCGGGUCGUAAAGCCCUGUCAGGUGGGAAGAAUGUCCCGGGACUGAACAGGUUCCGGGAGCGACGGUACCACCAGAGGAAGCACCGGCUAACUCCGUGCCAGCAGCCGCGGUAAUACGGAGGGUGCAAGCGGUAUUCGGAAUUACUGGGCGUAAAGCGCGUGUAGGCGGUCCCGCAAGGCUGAGGUGAAAGCCCCGGGCUUAACCCGGGAAGGGCAUUGGAAACUGUGGGACUUGAGUACUGGAGAGGAUGGGGGAAUUCCCGGUGUAGAGGUGAAAUUCGUAGAGAUCGGGAGGAAUAUCAGUGGCGAAGGCGCCCAUCUGGACGGUAACUGACGCUGAGACGCGAAAGCGUGGGGAGCAAACA
rnacentral:rRNA from 1 species